CGCAUACCAUCAUGGCUCAAGAGUAAACAUUGCAACAACACCACCCAGAUCCAGAUCAGAAAGAAGCCCCAGCAUCUCCUCAUGGCAAUCCUCGGCAAGAGUACUAGCGCUUUGUGCAUCAUAGGCCUAGUGCUCAUGGCCACUGUUCUCUCCUCAUGUGCCAGUUCUCCAAUCCCGAUCAAUGAAUGCAACGUCGGUCCAUUUCCCAAGGAAAACUGUCCUCAGCUAUGUCAUAAAGCAUGCUAUGGUGGCGUUUGCCUCUUAGGAGAUGACGACAAGUAUUACUGUUGCUGCGAACCAGUACGCCAAGAUGGAUCCAAGAGGCCUCAGGAGGUUGCUGAAAUGAUACAAACAUAGUGUCAUGGAUGACCAUAACCAUGUGGAAUAAAUGUGCUAGCUCUUCAUGCUGAUGUGGUUAAACAAAUAAUGUAUUUUUUGUCAAUC